rnacentral:rRNA from 1 species
CCUACGGGUGGCAGCAGUGGGGGAUAUUGCACAAUGGGGGAAACCCUGAUGCAGCGACGCCGCGUGGGUGAAGAAGCGCCUCGGCGCGUAAAGCCCUGUCAGCAGGGAAGAAAAUGAAGGUACCUGCAGAAGAAGCCCCGGCUAACUACGUGCCAGCAGCCGCGGGAAUACGUAGGGGGCAAGCGGUAUCCGGAUUUACUGGGUGUAAAGGGGGCGCAGGCGGCGAUGCAAGCCAGGAGUGAAAGCACAGGGCCAAACCCCGGGACUGCUCUUGGAACUGCGUGGCUAGAGUGCAGGAGGGGCAGGCGGAAUUCCUGGUAUAGCGGUGAAAUGCGUAGAUAUCAGGAGGAACACCGGUGGCGAAGGCGGACUGCUGGACUGCAACUGACGUUGAGGCCCGAAAGCGUGGGGAGCAAACAGGAUUAGAUACCCGAGUAGUC